UCGUGCCGAUCGUUGGGUAGUUCUUACGUGUUUUGACGGACUCGUAUUGUUUGUUCAGACGUCUGCUUUCUAAAUUUGCAUUAUAUUUGAUCAUCAAUCAAUUAUUCAAUUGUAACUGCUAUAGUAAUGUUAUUUAUUAUUGACGCGCUUGAUGUACAUUAUUGUACAAAAGUGGUAGAUAUUUGAUCGCGUUUCGUGUGCAAAUAACAAGGUUCGGUGUCCGUCGCUAAAUGAAUCGGAUAUAGGAUGGCCCUCAUGUAGAUUUAUUUAUCAUUAUCCUUGCCAGUUGCUGUGCCCUGGUGACUGAUGCGCACAACAAUUCCUUCCCCACUCAACAUGCAGCGACCAAAACGAUCAAAUCUUAUCCGACAAAACCGUAAUGCAACUAGGAUUCGAAGGAUUGCGAAUGAAAGGACUGAAGAAGAAUAAAAAAUUGCACGUGAAAAGCGAGGCGGAACAAAGUUUGCCGGGUCAGCUAGUAAUUCAUAAAACAUAAAUCUAUAUAUAUAAAAUUUGCGUGUCACAGUGUUUGUUUCCGUACUCCUCCGAAACGGCUUUACCGAUUUUUACCAAAUUUUAUAUGCGUAUUUAGUAGGUCUGAGAAUCGGCUAACAUCUAUUUUUCAUACCCCUAAGUGAUAAGGGUUGUUCACCCUUAACUUUUUUUUUAAUUUUUGGACAAAUUCUUUUGUUUUUAUUUUUUUAUGAUGUGGCAUUAAAAAAUACAUACAUCUCUAUAUUUUUACUUUUUUAUCACCAACCCCUAUUUCUUUAUAGCCAUUUUAGUAAUUUAAUCAUUUUUCAUGUCGCUCAAAGAAAAAUUUUAUAUGCGUAUUCAAUAGGUCUGAGAAUCGGAUAUUAUCUAUUCUUCAUAUCUCUAAGUAAUAAGGGUUGUUCACCCUUAAUUUUUGUUAAAUUUUGGACAAAAAAUGUUGUUUCUAUUUUUAUAUAAUGUGGCAUUAAAAAAAUACAUACAACUCUAAAUAUUUACUUUUUUUAUCACCAACCCCUAUAUUUUUAUAGCAAUUUCGGUAAUUUAAUUUUUUUUCAUCCCGCUCGAAGGAAUGAGACUGAAGUCGGUCUCCUGUUUCACGCAUACAAUAAGACUUCUCUCACUCCCUACACAGUUUUAGGCCAUCAUUAUGGUAUAUGUAUCAAGUGUAGUAGUAACGUUUACAAUUAUCAUAUUGCUAUCUCAGUGUAACUCUGAUAUUAAUUAUUACUGUUUUAUUCAUAACUAGCGGACCCAACAGACUUCGUUCUAUUAAAGAAAAUUGUAAUGUGGCAGAUUUUGUUCCUCUCUAUUUUAUAGUCGGUUCAAAAAAUUCUCCUGAAUAGAACAGUCACCCCGUUGACAGGGCGCUUCCACGAACUUUCGCCACCCUUUCAAGAACAAAUUAUAUUAGUGGGACCCACUAAAACACCCCGAAUUGUGUCACAUGCAAUACUUAGUGAUCGUAGAUAAUUAACCACGUUGCACAAAAAACGAAAUGAAAGAAUUAAACAAAAAUGAAUCAAAGAAAACUGCGGAAUUUGUAUCGUUUGUCAGUGGACAAAAGAAAACUCAGUAGAAAACCAUAAAUCAAAAAUAAGUCGAAGAAGGCUGCGGAAUUUGUUUCGUUAAUCAAUAGAAAAAAGGAAACCUCAGCUUUUCCCCGUUUUACCGGUAAUAAUUCCAAUUUUUGUCGCCGAAAAAACCACCCUUAGACUUUAACAAACAUAUUAAAAGAAAAAUUACCUAAAUUGGUCUAGGCGUUGUUG